AUGCCCACGCCCUCGCAAUCCAGGCUGCUGCCACUGACAGUCCAGCUUGUACUCAUUCUUGCAGGCGCAGCAGCCAUGGCCGGGGUUGAACUAGAUGAGCAGCUGCCGAUCACACGUCCGGGCUGCCCUGACAAGUGCGGCAACAUGAGCAUCCCGUUCCCCUUCGGCCUGAUGCCCGGCUGCUUCCGCGAGGGCUUCCAGGUCACCUGCGACCACUCCGUCGACCCCCCUCGAGCGUUCCUCGCCGACACCGAUACCAACCGCAUCACGGUCACAGACAGCGACGCCUCGGCGGCCUCCGACGCCGCCGCCUAUCUGGGGUACAACACCUCGUAUUUUCCAGUGGAGCUCGUGGACAUGUCAGCCGACAGGAGCCAGGCGCGGGCGUACGGCCCCAUCACGUCCGGCUGCAGCACCAACAGCACCCAGUACAGGUUCCAAACCCAGGCCAUGACGCUCGGCAUCACGGAGGGGCCGUUCGCCGUGUCGCAGUCUCGCAGACGCUCAACGUCGUCGUCGGCGUGGGCUGGAGGGUCGACGUCGUCAUGGACGGCUCGACCACGCCCGUCUGCCGCACUGGCACGGAGCGGGAGCUCGCGGCGAGGAACGGGUCGUGCGCGGGGCAGGGCUGCUGCGAGGCCGCCCUGCCCCCGGUGCCGGAGUACGGCAGCGUCGAGCCGGGGCUCGUGGUCCCGAACGAGAACGCCCUGUGGAGGUCCAGCCCGUGCUCCUACGCCAUGGUGGUCGAGAAGUCGCGCUACGUCUUCUCCACGCCGGACCUGUACGGCGACACGCUGCUGAUGGAGACGUUCCCCGUGGUGCUCGACUUCGCCAUCGUCGGGAACGCCUCGUGCCCGGCGAAAGGCCAGCGGCCACCUCCGGAUUACGCGUGCGCCAGCAGCAACAGCUACUGUGUCAACGCCACAGUCGGCCUCUCGGGUUAUGCACUCAGCUACGUGUGCAAAUGCUCGGAGCACUACGAGGGCAACCCGUACAUCGCCGAUGGAUGCCGAGACAUCGAUGAGUGCAAGUUCCCCGAUCUAUACUACUGCUCGAGCAAAGGCAUAUGCAAGAACAGGUUGGGAGGAUAUGAUUGUCCAUGCAAGCCAGGAAUGAGAGGCGAUGGGAAAUUAGGACAGUGUGUUGAGAAAUUUCCCCUGGUAGCCAAGGCGAUUGUGGGUAUCAUUGGUGGUAUUUCUAUCAUAGCAGUUAUAUCAUUUCUAGUUCUUCUCCGCAAAGAGAGAAGGAAGACCAGGGAGUUCUAUGAAAAGAAUGGUGGACCUACACUAGAGAGAGCAAAAAAUAUUAAAAUUUUCAAAAAGGAGGAGCUCGUGCCAAUUUUAAAGGAAAGCAAUCUUAUUGGAAGAGGUGGCUUCGGUGUAGUUUACAAGGGCACUCUUGGUAAAGAACAAGUUGCAGUGAAGCAACCGAUUAGUGGUAGUCUGCUGGAAAAUGACCAAUUUGCAAAUGAAGUCAUCAUCCAAUCUCAAGUCAUCCACAAGAAUAUUGUUAGGCUCAUAGGUUGUUGCCUCGAGGUUGGUACCCCAUUGCUAGUAUACGAAUUUCUCUCUGGUGGUAGCCUGGAUGACAUUCUUCACAGCAAAGACAAGAAGCCUCUAAACUUGGAUAUACGUUUAAGUAUUGCUGUAGAAUCAGCAGAUGGUCUUGCUUACAUGCUUUCAAAAACAAACACCAAAAUCCUACACGGUGAUGUUAAACCAGCAAAUAUACUUUUGGAUGAUAAGUUUGUCCCCAAGAUCUCGGACUUUGGCAUAUCAAGGUUGAUUGCGGGAGACAAAGAACACACCGGAAAAGUCAUCGGUGACAUGAGCUAUAUGAAUCCAAUAUAUCUACGGUCAGGCCUGCUAACUGAAAAGAGUGAUGUCUAUAGCUUCGGAGUGGUGUUGUUGGAGCUUAUUAGCAGGAAGAAGGCCACACAUUCUGACAAUAAUAACUUAGUAAAGAGCUUCCUCGAAGUUCACAACAACGAGAACAGAAUAACCGAGUUGUUUGACAAUGAAAUUGCGGCAGCAGAAGACUUGGAGCUUCUUCAAAAUCUGGCAGGGAUGGCAGUCGAGUGUCUCAACCUUGACGUGGAACAAAGACCAGCGAUGACAGAUAUAGCACACCGCCUUCUAAUACUGAACAAGUCUCGUAGAUCGUCAGUUCUUGGACGCUGA
rnacentral:rRNA from 1 species